UACGGAGGGGGCUAGCGUUGUUCGGACUUACUGGGCGUAAAGCGCACGUAGGCGGAUCAGCAAGUUAGGGGUGAAAUCCCGGGGCUCAACCCCGGAACUGCCUUUAAAACUGUUGGUCUGGAGGUCGAGAGAGGUGAGUGGAAUUCCGAGUGUAGAGGUGAAAUUCGUAGAUAUCGGAAGGAACAUCAGUGGCGAAAGCGACUUCCUGGACCAAUACUGACGCUCAUGUGCGAAAGCGUGGGGAGCAAACAGG
rnacentral:rRNA from 1 species